AUUGAACGCUGGCGGCAGGCCUAACACAUGCAAGUCGAGCGAGCGGCGGACGGGUGAGUAAUGUCUGGGAAACUGCCUGAUGGAGGGGGAUAACUACUGGAAACGGUAGCUAAUACCGCAUACCAUCAGAUGUGCCCAGAGGGGAUUAGCUAGUAGGUGGGGUAACGGCUCACCUAGGCCACGAUCCCUAGCUGGUCUGAGAGGUUGACCAGCAAUACGGGAACUGAGACACGGACCAGACUCCUACGGGAGGCAGGAGUGGGGAAUAUGGCACAAUGGGCGCAAGCCUGAUGCAGCCAUGCCGCGUGUGGCACGAAGGCCUUCGGGUUGUAAAGCACUUUCAGCGGGGAGGCGUUAUCAGAAGAAGAAGCACCGGCUAACUCCGUGCCAGCAGCCGCGGUAAUUC
rnacentral:rRNA from 1 species